GCCGGGUGCAGUGGCGCAUGCCUGUAAUCCCAGCAGCUUGGGAGGUUGAAGCAGGAGAAUGGCGAGUUCAAAGCCAGCCUCAGCAAAAGCAAGGCUCUAAGCAACUCAGUGAGACCCUGUCUCUA
rnacentral:sRNA from 1 species